rnacentral:lncRNA from 10 species
UGACUACACCUGAGAAUAGCCACUGCACUCCAGCCUGGGCAACAGGACAAUAGUCUAUAUUUUUUUAAAAAAAGCAUCAUCAACUUAUAAUAUUACCAACUUAUGAUGGGUUCAUUGGAACAUAAUCCUAUCAUAAGUUGAAGUGUAUCUUUAUAUAGUAGAAUAUAGUAACAUACUACAGACUUAUUUUCUCAAAGCAUAAAAAUAAACCACACUAAUGAUCAUCCAUGGGAGAGGGACACCUAGACAAUGUCCUGCAAAACGAGAAAUACUGGUAAGACAUACUUUACAUUCCAGACUGAGUCUCUUUCACCAUGAAAUAAAAUCAUUAAGAAAUUUUUAGUAAUAUUUUAAUUAUUAUAUUUUAAUUAAAAAUUUAGGUAUAGAAAGAAGGUUGUAUAGCUUUACAUUAAAAAUAAAUUAGUAUGUGACUUGGCUACUUGACACCAAAUAGCUUGUGUCAGAUUCACCCUCCCACCAUAAAAAACUAUACAAUCUGGCCAAAAUAUAGAAAAAAUUCUUGGCAGGUGUAUUAGUCUGUUCUCAUGCUGCUAAUAAAGACAUACCCAAGACUGGGUAAUUUAUAAAAGAAAGAGGUUUAGUGAACUCACAGUUCCACAUGGCUGGGGAGAACUCACAAUCAUGAUAGAAGGCAAAGGAAAAGCAAAGGCACAUCUUACAUGGCAGACAAGAGAGAGGGCAUGUGCAGGGGAGCUCCCCUUUGUAAAACCAUCAGAUCUCAUGAGACUUAUUCACUAUCACAACAACAGCAUGGGAAAGACCCACCCCCAUGAUUCAAUUACCUCUCACCAGCUGCUGAGCAUGGUUCAGGUGGGCUGGCUACAUGUGGGAAUUAUGCAAGCUACAAUUCAAGAUGGGAUCUGCGUAAGGACACAGCCAAACCAUAUCAGCAGGCAUUGAAGAACAUUGUUGUAGCAAGUCAGGUAUGAGAUCUUUAAGGAAGGUGAGGCACAUGAGGUUAGUACCACAUUUGCCAGGAUUUUCCAGAAAGGCAUCUUCCUGACCUUGGUACAGGAAAAUGGGACCCAACCAGGGGUUAGUGGUCUUGGGAACCAAAAGAAGCAAUGAAUAGAGUUCAAAGCUGCUAAAUUGGUUAGGAAUUGGGGGUCAAUGUACCAUAUGGGAGAGAGAAAGAACCUAGAAAUGGGUGUAUACAUGCCAUUUUGGUCCUUCUGUGACUCCUUAGCUAUGUGACAGUUGGCUAAGAAGAGGGGAGACCUUGGAGAAAGAAACUGCUGGGAUACAGAAAGCAGAAGAGAUCAUCAGGGACUGAAAACUUCCUGGAAAGCUACUGGAGUUCAGAUCCAGCCAAAUGGGGAAAUGUUGGCAAACAACUGAGAAACUCAGUUGGGACUCUAAAAAUUCUCUUAGGAGAGGUGCAGUAUCCCAGGAGUGAGGCAUAUGUUCUAAGAGGAAAAUAAAAUAUAAUUACCAUAACACAGCUUAAAACUAGGUCUUGAGAGCAGCAAGAUGAUCUGCAAGUAAUUACAAAUUCUGCCCAGAAAAAAAAUUCAAAAUUCUUGAGUAGUUCUAUAUCAUAUUAUCCAUAAAUUCAGCAUACUUUAAAAAAAAUACCAAAUAUACAAAAAAGCAAGUAAAACAGACUGAUAAGAAAUAAAUCAGUUAUUAAAAACAAACUCAUAGAUAAUCCAGAUAUUGGAGUUAACAGAUAGGGCAUCAUAACAUCUAUGAUGAAUAUAAAGGAAAGAAAGAAAAAAUGAAAGACAAAACAGGUUGUGUCAGAUUUCUUUCUGGAAGCUUUAAAAUGCUCACUUUAUUUUCAUAGAUUCUAAUUUCCUAAAUUAUGUUUGAUGUUUCAAGCAAAAAUCAUAGCAUUGUCUAGUGUUAUUCUAAAUGGAUGUAAGACAAUUAUACUACAAAUUUGAUAGAGUAAAGAGACAUAAUAUGACAGAAGGUUGCUAUACUUCACUCAGACUGGAAUAAAGAUGAUACCAAUUGACUGUGAUAAUGUUUAUAUAAAUGAAUAUACACUAAGCUGUAAAAUGCAACCACUAAGCUAUAAAAUGCAACCAAAAAAACUAUAAAAAAGAAGAUACACUAUAAACACUAUAAAUAACAAAAUGGAAUUCUAAAACAAAUGUUCAAGUAACCCACAUGAAGUCAUGAAAAAUAAGCAGAGAAACAAGAAUUGAUAGAGAAAACAAAAAAUGUCAGGCUUACGCAUUAAAGUAUCAAUAAUUCAUUUAAUUAUGAAUGGUCUACCAAGAGAUAGAUAAUAGAAGAGUGUAUUUAAAAGUAUGACCCUUUCUUGUAUGUUUCUUGUAUGCUGUGUACAAGAAACUCACUUGAAUUUUACCAAUACAGGGCAGGCCAAAUUAACAGGAUGAAAAAAGAUAUAUUACACAAACAUUAAUGAAAGGAAAGCAAGAGUGUCUGUGUGCAUAUCAGAUAAAGCAAAGAAAACUUCCAAAACCAGAGAUUAUAUAAUGAUCAAAGGUUUAAUCCAUGAAGAAGACAGCAAUUUUAAAAGUGUAUUCACCAAAAAAUAAAGCUUCAAAAUAUGUGAUGUGAAAACUGCCAGAACUAAGGCGGGCCGGGCUCAGACCAGCGCUGCCUCAGGAUGUGAAGUGUAACAAGAGGGCCAGGGGAGGUGGUGGGGGACAACAUGGGCCUGUGAGGCCUGUGGGUGCCCGCGUUCCCCAGCUCCCCCCGCAGCCCGCUCCACAGUGGUCCGCUCCGGUUGGUUGUCAC